UACUUCUUUUAAUACUUACAACCCUGGAGGAAGGCAGGGCGGUUGCUUUCAUACGUUUUGCAGCAGCCCGGGUUGAAUCCAGAUAGGCUCUAUGAUGUGCACGGGGUAUCACAAGGCUAAUAAUGAUAGCUAACCGAUUCCUCAGGAUGCGUCUGCCAGAGGUCUGGGUAUGAGGCAGCCCUGCCAAUCACAGAGGAGUCAAACCCACUGACCCAGGACCUCGACAAAGCAGAUGCCGAGGAAAUUGUUCCAUUGCUGGGACAAUGUGAUGCUGAGAUCUUCCAGGAGGAGCGGCAAGUCAUGCCCACAGACUAGGAACCUGAGGGGGAGCUGGUGGUGCUGAGUGGAGGGGGCAGCUCUGGCAGGAUGGCGUUUCUCAUGUCUGUCUCCUUCAACCAGCUUUGAAAGGUCUAGGACAGAAACCUCUACACCUACCUCAUUGCAAGCAGUGACAGGUCUGUGGUGGCAUCUAGGGAGGGGACAGAAGAUAGUGCCCUGCACGGGAUUGAAGAACUGAAGAAGGUCUGUGUUUUCCCCUGAUAGUCAACCAGACGUCUCUGUCUGUUCCUUCUCACGAGGACACUGAAGUCCCCAUCCAGCCAAAGCCCGUUCUCUUCCGCAGUCCUGACCCUGACAUCUCCAUGCAAUAGGCUCACUUUGUGGCAGGCCAGGUGGACUCCGGCAUGGACAGCCCAGGCACCUUCUUACCAGUCCUGGUUGGUUUCAGCCCCGUGAACAUGGCCAGACCCCUCUGAGGAAGCUCUUCCCUCCAUCAUCCGCAUCACGUGGCCACUGCUUUUCUUCGAAUAGGAAGGGAACUUCAUCCAGAGAGAGAACACGAGUGUGGGGGAUGGGCAGAAGGCGAGCGAGAGAAUCUCAAGGAGACUCAGCCCUGAGUGUGGAACCCAACGUGGGGUUUGAUCUCAUGAUUCUGAGAUCACGACCUGAGCUGAGACAGAGAGUCGGACACUUCGCUGACUGAGCCACCCAGGCACCUCUCUUCGGCUCAUUUCUAAUUGGAUUACUUGGUUUUUGGGGUGUUGAAUUGUGUAAUUUCUCUCUCUCUAUUGGAUACUAACCCUUUAUCGGAUAUGUCAUUAGCAAAUAUCUUCUCCCACUCAGUAAGUUGUUGUUUGGUUUUGUUGGUUGCUUCCUGUGCUGUGCAGAAGCUUUUAGUUUUGGUGUAGUCCUAACAGUUUAUUUCUGCUUUGCUUUCCCUUGCCUCAGGAGACAUAUCUAGAAAUAUGUUGCUGUGGCCAAUGUCAGAGAUCUUACUCCCUGCGCUCUCUUCCAGGAUUUUUAUGGUUUCAGGUCACACAUAGAGGUCCUUUACCUGUUUUGAGUUUAUUUUUGUGUAUGUUGUAAGAAAAUGGUCCAAUCUCAUCCUUUUGCAUGUAGCUGGUCAGUGUUCUCAACACCAUUUGUUGAAGAGACUUUUUCCCAUCACAUAUUUCCUCCUUUGUCAAAGAUUAAUUGACCAUAUCAUCAUGGGUUUAUUUCUGACUUUCUAUUCUGUUCCAUUGAUCUGUGUGCCUGUUUUUGUGCCAGUACCAUACUAUUUUGAUUGUUAUAGCUUUGUAGUAGUAUACCUUGGAAUCUGGGAUUGUGACCCCUCCAGAUGUGUUUUUUUCCUCCCCUAUGAUUGUUUUGGCAGUUUGGGAUCUUUUGUGGUUCUGUACAAAUUUUAUGAUUGUUCUAGUUGCGUGAAAAAUGUUCCCUGACAUUUAGUAAGUGCUCCCUGGGUGUCUGUGAAAUGAAUACAUGACUUUUCAAUUUUAACCCUGGGUGACUGACAAGAUGAUGGCAUUUUGAACAACAUAGGAAACAUUAGGCAGAAGUUGUGUGGUAGGAGGCUGAAAAUGAACUCUACCAUUUGAAGUGCUUGUAAAAUCUAUGCAGAGAUGUUCACCUUGCCGCUCAAAUUAAUUGUCUAGACCUGUGCUACCCAGUCCGGUAUCCACUGGCCACGUGGCGCCAUUCAA